AUAUUUUAUACCAGCUUCUCGGACCUCACAUGCUGCCCGUGCUACAUCAACAAGCACGUGCGCGAUUUCAUUUGCGAGUCUGAUUUCAUUCAAGGGUCUCUGUGACCUGUCCGGGUUUCUUCCACAGAUGUCACGAAUCUGUUCAGCAUUUUGCAAAGUAUCAUCUGUUUGCGAUUCGUCCACGGCAUUUAUUUUUUGUGUGGUUGGAAUUUGCAUGGAUUACUUAAAGAAGAUAUCACGACACUGAUUGUGAAGAAGAUAUUGGCCGAGAUCAAAUCGUCACACGCCUGUAUGAAGAGGAAAAGGUCACUUUCUGAGGAAAUACUCUCUGCAGCAUUCUGUGACAUCCACCGACAGUGCCUGGGACUGGACACUGAAUGUUAAAGUCAUCUGGCAACUCAUUGCCACUUACUAUUAAAGUUAAUAAAACAUGUGACCCAUGUGAUUGUUUAUUUGUGA